CCUACGGGAGACUGCAGUAGGGAAUGUUCGUCAAUGGGCGCAAGCCUGAACGAGCGAUGCCGCGUGAGUGAAGAAGGCCUUCGGGUCGUAAAGCUCUGUUGCGGGGGAAAAAAGGCAGCAUCAGGAAAUGGGUGCUGACUGAUGGUGCCACGCCAGAAAGGCACGGCUAACGACGGGCCAGCAGCCGCGGUAAUCCGUAGGUGGGGAGCGUUAUCCGGAAUGAUGGGGCGUAAAGGGUGCGCAGGCGGUCCUGCAAGUCUGGAGGGAAACGCAUGAGCUCAACUCAUGCAUGGCUUUGGAAACUGGCGGACUGGAGCGCAGGAGAGGGCGGUGGCACUCCCUGUGUAGCGGUCACAUGCGUAGAUAUAUG
rnacentral:rRNA from 1 species